UUUUAGCCUUUUUUUUUUGUGUUUUUUUCGAAAGAAGCAGUUCGGAACCGUUACGUAACGGUACGUAACAGGCCGUUACGGUUGUUACGGCACCGUUAUGACUGCUAUGGCAGCCGCUACGGCUAACACACCUGUAAAUCACACUGCAAAAGCGGCCGUAACGGGUGGCGGUAACCACCACAACCGUCACGUAACAGUUGUGGCCGCUUUUUAAAACCUUGAUCACAAGCAUUUGAAUGCUAGUAGCCGGGAUCACCCAAGAAAUCUCCACCACCUGAAAUAACAUGUACCAUGAGAACAAUAUCAGUAGACAAUGCAAACAAAGGUGAUCCAUGGAUUCCUCAUUCGUACUCCACAUUAUACACCAUUGAGGACGAAGAAUGCAAUUAGGCCUUGUUUCCCCUAAAAAUGUCAUUAGUCAUAAGACUAUGACGGGCCUUUUAAUAUAAAUAAUUUAAGAUGCUAUGAGAGGAAUCUAGUUGCUCUGAUAUUUCCUUGUGGCAAAUUCUUCCCAGUGAGCCUGGUGACUAUCUGCAAAGCUUUCAUUCAUCUAAUUGCAGCACUUUCUUUGUGAGUUAUUAUGUUAUGCACAAAGUAGUUUUUGAUACUUGAGCCAAUUAGCUUCUGAGUCAAAUCUGAUUUAUUUUCUGGACAUGAGCUUACAAUGACUUUUUCUGUAGCAUUUGAAAGAUCAGGAAUAGGCAAUGUCAGACCAAUUGGGCUCCGAUAAUAAAAAUUGGGAAUGCAAGAAGAGAAGGACAAGAAAAUCCAGGAACUAUACAAUGAACUGCAGCAUGAAAGAGAACGAUCAGCAGCACUCCGGGAACAGCUACACGAGAUUCUUAAAAAUCUUGACGAGCAUUCUGAGUUCAUGUCUAUUAGAGUUGAAGAUAUAUCUAACAUCAUGAAACAAAUUGAACUCAACAAUGAUUAGCUUCAGUGGCACUACUGAUAGGUUUCUUCUGAUAGAGAUUGGUCAGGCAUACACAUAAUUUCGUUAUGACCCAUUUACCCAAGUAGAGAGCAUCAACAUGACUUGACUACCAUGACUGUUUGUCAUCUGAGAAGGUCUCUACCAUCAUGAAGACAGUUUGCUGGCAACCCAAUAUUACUAGAUGGAAUUUUUGCUCGAUAAAAAGAGCUAGGUGUAGGUGACCGCCACGUGGCGAUCCUCACUCCUUGGGGGCAUGAUUAAUAGAUCGAUUUUGGGGACUCUAUAUUUCAUCCCUUGUUAAGUGUCAUUCCCAAUUGAACACCAUGAAAAUAGUUCUAAUGUGUUCAUUAUCUGAAGUUGUAUUAAUACGUUAUUUCAAUUGAUCAUCGAGAAGGUUGAAAUAACAUUCCACUCUCUCUCUCUCUCUGAGUGUUUGAUUUUGUUAUAGAACUUGUUUUGGGCAUUGUAAGAGCAUUAUUAGAUGGCUUCUCGUGUUCAUGUUUGAGCUUCUUAUUAAGUGCAUUUUCUCA